GGGUGAACACGGACAGAUUGUUCCAGGCCCGCAGCUGUUUUUUUGACUCCAGCCUCCCAGAAGAGACGACGGUGCAGAUCAACAACAUGAUUCAAGCCUACAGAUCAGCAGCCAUAAUUAGCAAUCCUAUUUAAAGCCUACAUGUAGAAGCAUGACUGUGCAUUCUGAAGUGUCCCAGAUAAAAGACCAUCCAAAACAGCAGAAAGGUCUUUCCAAGAUUACCUAGUCCUCCGGAGGUGGUAAAUCCGGUUCCCAGAAGAUGAAGAAGCCAGCACAGAUUUUCACUUCGGGAAUGUCUUUACAGAGUUACAUGUUGACCCACCGAAUGAUUAAAAUUCACAAGUAGUUAAUGUCCAAAGGGUCGGGAUGUGAACAGCUCCUGCAUGUACUGGAAGGCUGAACUGUACAGAUUGUUCCCAGCCGUUUCUUAGGCUGAUAAGGAUGAGCCAGUGUGUCUUGUGUUAUAUUCUUGCUUAUGUCUUUGUCCUUGAGAUAGGAGUCGUCUUAUGUGGUAGAUGAUGCAUUUAUUUUCUGUUGCCUUUUUCCUGUACGAUGCACUUUGCAUACACAGCUCUGUCACAUUUAUCAGUAUUCUACCAUCUUUUUAAAAAUCAAAUUCAACAUAUAAUCUACUAUGUAAUCCUUUGUUAUAGAAGAGGUUGCCUCAGCUUGGCCUUUCAUGGCCCAAAUGGAAAUCACCCACAGUAAGCGGUGGAAACAUCUGAGCAACCGACACGCCGCUGUGGGAGCUAUGCAAACACUGCAAGCUAUGCCGGAUGGUCAGCCAUCCCUGGGUGG